rnacentral:tRNA from 1 species
GGGCGAGUGGUGAAAUUGGUAUACACGCUAGUCUUAGGAACUAGUGCCGCAAGGUGUGAGAGUUCGAGUCUCUCCUCGCCCACCA